GUCAAAGCCUAUAUAAAAAAUCUAGCCUCAAAACUUGAUAAAUAAUGAGUUUUAUCUUUCAGAACACAAUGGGUUAGUUGCUUCCUUCUAACCUGAAAUUGUGUUUCUUUCUCCAGAUAAUUGUGAUUGUUGUGAUUCCUCUAAAUAGUUCCGGGCUCGUAUCCGUGCUUUAAACCAGGUGAAAAAUUGCAAAUGUCUAAAAUGAGCUUAAAUGAUAUCCUGACUUCUCACAAAUCUCUCAACAUAAUUCUCAUGCUAGGCUGGCACGAGUACCGUUGAUAUAUAACCUCAACUUGCUCCGCUGACUCGCGGAGAAAUUCUACUGAUCUUCAACAUGCAGAUAUCUCCCCUGCGUGUUUGACUCCUGAGAUGGUUCCGUUCUCUUCUAAUCUGAGUUGGUUCAGUUCUCUUCUACUCCCACCUACUAAUCUUGACAUCCUGAGUCUAAGGAAGUUUAUAUAAAGGUGAGGAUCAAAGCUCACAACCUUUGAGCUCUGGAACUCGGUCUAAUUAAUUUUAUUUAGACCUCCGUUGUCAAGACUCCGACAUCACCGGAAGCUGAGUCAUCCUUGUUCUCUGGAUCCUCAGCUCGUGCUCCAGAAUAUCCUUUUGGUACUCUAGAGACCCAUAUACCUCUACGUACCAGGCCUGCACAACUUUGGCUUAGUUGUUUCCUCUACUCCGGUUUCUCCGACGAGAAACAUUGUUGCUCCCCUCCGAUACCUCCACGGAAGGGCUCUGAUUCUGUAUCCCUGGUCUAGCUCCUCCUCUAGAUCAAAUACAGUUAUCCUGUUCUCGACUGCGGUGCAAUUUAAUGAACUAUAGGCUACAAACCUCUGGACAAAUCAACAUUUUCACGGUUGAGUCCUGUAUAAACUGCCUACCUGAAAUAUAUACAUAAGAUUUAAUCAGUGCAAAUAGAGGUGAGCCGAAGAGAAAGAGUUCAUGCUCGCUCUUAUGUUUGUAGUUAUUACCUGGUCUCCUAUAGGUAAAAAUGAGCACAGAAGGUGGUGUAAUAAUCAAAAUUAUUGUUAAAGCAUUGAAAGAAAAACCGUGGAAUAUUUUGAUU